AACAUGUGUGUGCCUAUAUAGAAAUGCAUUUUUAAUAUCUUCAUUUUUAUGUAAUUAUUUUAACGUUCUUGCGCGGUGAUGAUUUUGAGGGGGUGGGGUAAAAUUUUCAUCUAAAACAAUAUCAGAUCGGAAUUAAUUAAUAUUCAAAACACGUUAAUAGGUAUGUAAUGUUUAAAACAAUUUUAUUAACCAUUAAACGAGAAUUAUUAAGAUAUUUCAUUAUAAUUAAUUCUGUAUUAACACCACUGUUGCUUUGUUGUUUAUGUACAAUAUCAGAUCGGAAUUAAUUAAUAUUCAAAACACGUUAAUAGGUAUGUAAUGUUUAAAACAAUUUUAAAUAUAAGUAGAAUGCGUUAGAGUAAUUAAAAUAAUUGCUAAUUAAUCGAAGGUAAUGUCUAUUGUUGUUUAAAAGCACGUAACAUAAGAUCUAAGUACCGUUCCGCUCGAAAUUCACCUUCAGACUGGCCCGUUGUCUUCUGUGAAAGUUCUUUUAUUUAAAGUUGUUUAUAUGACUUUUCGAAAAAGGAAAUUCUAUUUAUUACGAAUAUUAUUCCCGUUACACACAUGCGCAACAUUCGGAAAGUCAUAUAAACAACAUGUAAUAAAAGUACUUUCAUAGAUGACAACGUGUCAGUUUGAAGGUGAAUUUCGAAGAGGACUGUACACAGAAGAUAUACUCCGAGCUGUUAGACAAUAAUAGACAGUUGUAUCGAUUAAUUAACAAUUAUUUUAAUGCACUAAUGCACUUUACUUAUAUUACAGGAAAAUUUUACUCUCGAAGUUAUCACUGCGCAAGAACGUUAAAAUAAUUAUAUAAAAAUGAAGAUAUUAUAAAUGCAUUUCUAUAGGCACACAUAUGUUUAUUAUACACUAUAAAUUAAAAAUAAUUAUUUCAAAUUCUAUUACAAUAUAAAUAUACUAUAUAUACUAUCGCCCACUGGUGGUACCGGUACUAACUAAAAUGAUUCUGGUUACGUGAAAGUGGAUUUGUGAGCUUCUAUGUUCUUCUGUAUUCUUUGGCAGCAUCUACUUGGCUUUACUCAUCACAUAUAUAUGAAUUUAAGUGUGCAACUGUGAAGUAAUAUGGCGAUUUUAAUUAACAAUUUCGACGCAGUAAAAUUUUGGCGCUAUCGACGUUUAGGUGGAACUUUCGAAUCUAUAUCGAUUGCAUUAUCGAUGCCAGUGUGUUAAUUAUGUAUAUUAUUUGUUUACAAUGUACGUAUAACGUGUCUCCGAUAGGAAUUUUUUCCUCCCCCCAUCGGAGUUUGAAUUUAAUUAAAGAUUUGUGUAGGUUUUAGAUUUUAAAUAAAAACAAAUUUUCGUUGGUA